CAUUGCACGACGUAAAGUCGCGCGCGAGCACGGGUGUGUUGACGCAUCGCGGAAGUUCACGCGAGUCUAUUGCACACGUUCACGGGUGGAUACGUUUGACGCGCCGAUGGUGGUCGAACGUGGUUGAGGCUGAACACAAGAACAUCGAGGAUGACGAUAGAGUACCAACAUCCUGAUGACGCGGCGGAUGACGAUGCCGAGGACCACAGGCUCCGUGCCGGGACCGACAGCUUCCCGAACAUCAACGAGAGGCCCGUCGAUGACAUCUCCCUCGAGUUCUUCUACAAGCCGCACACGAUCACCCUGCUGCUCAUCUCUAUCGUCACUGUCAUAUAUUCAGCCUUCACCAGAAACACCACCAAUGUGGAGGAGAACAUGUGGGCUGGCAUGCUGUGCAUCGUUUUCUUCUUCCUCAUCAUAUCGGUCUUGACUUUUCCGAAUGGACCGUUUACGAGGCCGCAUCCAGUAGUGUGGCGGAUAGUAUUUGGCUGCAGCGUGCUCUAUCUGAUGGGGCUGUUAUUCUUACUAUUUCAAAAUUAUCAGACGGUCAGGCGAAUCCUGGUGUGGGUAGAUCCAGGCCUGGCAUCCUUCCAUAUCGACAUGGACAAGGAGUACGGCGUCAAUUGCUCGGACGUCACCGUGGAAAAGAUCUGGAAUCACCUAGAUGUGUUCGCGCUGGCUCAUUUUCUCGGGUGGACCUUCAAAGCCGUCCUCAUUCGCCAUCUCGGCAUCCUCUGGGCCAUCAGCAUCAUGUGGGAAGUGACGGAGAUCGCCUUCGCCCACCUGCUGCCGAAUUUCAUCGAGUGCUGGUGGGACGCGCUGAUACUCGACGUUCUUGUGUGCAACGGACUGGGUAUCUGGGUUGGCCUAAAGAUCUGCUCCAUAUUGGAGAUGAGGGAAUACAAGUGGGUAAGCAUUCGUGACAUCGAAAGCACCACCGGAAAGCUGAAGAGAGCAGUGCUGCAGUUCACUCCUGGUAGUUGGACGUCCGUCAGAUGGCUGGAUCCGACGUGCACCAGUAUGCGAUUGGUUGCACUAUGUCAGCUGGUGAUAUUCUGGCAAGUUUCCGAACUGAAUACCUUCUUCCUCAAGCAUGUCUACGAGUUUCCUCCGUCUCACCCCUUUGUCGUGGCCAGAUUAGUGCUUAUCGGUGUCAUUGUCGCACCCUCAGUUAGGCAGUAUUACAUGUUCGUGACUGACCCGACGUGCAGUCGAGUGGGAACUCAAUGUUGGGUCUACGGGGCAAUCAUGGUGACUGAAGCCUUAUUGUGCAUACGCCACGGCGCCGCCCUAUUUGAGCGCACUCAGGCCCUCAAUAUUCUCCUUUGGCUCCUUUGCCAAUCUCUAGUCUCCGUUCUCUGCGUGUACGGCUGCGUCUUGUGGACUCAGUAUUUCGAGAAUGACACUGAUGUUAAUGGAAGUAUUUCUAUAGAAGAAGAUGAUGAUAAAUCGUAUGACGUCACAGGAAAUGGGGAUAUUCUGGCGAAGACUAAAUUUGUUGGAAAAAUGACAUUUGGUUUUUUAGAAGUUGCAUCGUAAAGCUGUUUUGGGGUUGUUAAUCGCUCAGACGAAAAAAAGAAACGGAAUCCAGAAAGGCCUUGCCGCAGUCCUCGCAGGCGAAUCUCGCCGACGCCGAGUGGGUUUUGAGAUGACGACGCAGG
rnacentral:misc_RNA from 1 species